UGGCACAAGAAGCAUCAGGGAAAGAGAUUGGGUGUGUGGGGAUGGACAGCAUCAAAAUGGCAAACACAGGAAACAGUUUGGUUCUUUUCCCUCCUAAGCCUUUGUCUGAGAAAUGGGGUUAUGGCAAGAACUGUCCAGAGGAAUUGGGAAGGCAAGAACAUCAAGAAGACUCAGUGUGGACAAUACAAGCGCCUCGGAGCAAGUCCCCGAACCUGCCCUAGCCAAAAUGGCGGCCGAGAAAGAGCGGAAGUGACGGUACUAUAUUUGUUUUCUUGUCAACUGGUUUCCAAACAGCUUUGGGAGGCACAGGAGGAAGGAAGAUCUCAAGGAGAAGGGGAAAAGUCCAAGUGUCCUCCCCUUUACUCUGCCUCCCAGCAUGGACCAGAUUCCAUCCAUGGCUCCCGCUUCUGCCAAGCAUCCCUGACUCCACCAUUCUAGCUCCUCUGGGCAGCCCGGGUUCCCGGCUCUAAAAACACCAUCUCCUCCAUUGUCGCUCCAGCCCAGGAGCGGUAGUGAGCUCCAGCUGCUACUAAUCUCUGAGUAGCCCCACUGUUCCAUUUGGCUUCUCAGCAAUUCCUUCACCUGUGUAACCAGACUCUCUGUAUUAAAUUCCCUAUAUU